AGUCAUAUGCUUGUCUCAAAGAUUAAGCCAUGCAUGUCUCAGUACAAGCCUAAUUAAGGUGAAACCGCGAAAGGCUCAUUAAAUCAGUUAUGGUUCCUUAGAUCGUACCCACAUUUACCUGGAUAACUGUGGUAAUUCUAGAGCUAAUACAUGCAAACAGAGCUCCGACCGGAGACGGGAGGAGUGCUUUUAUUAGAUCAAAACCAAUCGGCGGCGGGCGCGUUCGCGCGUCCGUUCGCCGCUCAAACUGGUGACUCUGAAUAACUUUCCGCUGAUCGCACGGUCUCGCACCGGCGACGCAUCUUUCAAAUGUCUGCCUUAUCAACUGUCGAUGGUAGGUUCUGCGCCUACCAUGGUCGUAACGGGUAACGGGGAAUCAGGGUUCGAUUCCGGAGAGGGAGCCUGAGAAACGGCUACCACAUCCNAGGAAGGCAGCAGGCGCGCAAAUUACCCACUCCCGGCACGGGGAGGUAGUGACGAAAAAUAACGAUACGGGACUCAUCCGAGGCCCCGUAAUCGGAAUGAGUACACUUUAAAUCCUUUAACGAGGAUCAAUUGGAGGGCAAGUCUGGUGCCAGCAGCCGCGGUAACUCCAGCUCCAAUAGCGUAU
rnacentral:rRNA from 1 species